UCUCCUGCGGGCGGGACUAAGUCUCGAGGAUAGGAGUCGAGGAUAGGAGUCGAGGAUAGGAGUCGAGGAGGGGAGUUAGUGAAAUGAGAAAGGGCCCUGGAGUCUUUUAGAAAGGGCUUUGUAGGUCCCAAGAGUGUUUUGAGGAGAUGCUUUGUAUUGUUGGUCCUUCUGCAGGUUAUUGGACCAUUGAGGUGAUUCCAGGUGUCCUUCAUGAAGCCCUAAUGAAGGUCCCAGAGCCCUUAGAGGCCGUCAGAGGCUGUCGGGCAUUCGCGGCGCCGUAGUCAGGUUGGUGUGUCCCGCACCGUCUGUCGUGACACGCCUUAUUUGGACUGCCUGACCCGAUGCAUGGCCGAUUCAACAUGCACUGCAAAUUCGCCAGUGUGAAAAUCCUGGUGUUAGAGCUUUUCGGGGUAAAGUGUUGUGGUUUUGGUGUUACAUUUAACAUGAUAAACACCGCCUGUUGUUAAAACACUAUAUAGUACAGGGUUGGAUCAUGGUGUUAAACAUAUUUAACGACGGAUAGUGUGUUCUCUCAAUCCGGGUACUUUUACGUGAUGUGCAUGAAAUUAUUUAGAUCUCCGCCAUCUUUUUGAUGCAACCUUCAGUCUCGAGAGACCGCAGUCCGUGACGGUAAGUUAUCGCUACGUUUCAUAAUUUGUUCCCCAGAUAGCUUACAUUGAUUUUGCUUAAAUACAGUUGUGUGUGGUAGGUAGCGUAAUUGUAAAUGUAUUGUUUUCAUUACUAGCUUGCUAAUUAUUGCUAUUUGACUGUCAUGACCAGGUGCAGGUGCACAGACCAUACAGUCAAUGCUUGCUUGCUAAACUAACUGUUGAAUUAUAUAUGGAUGUCGAAUUAACGUUAGAUAUGUAACAUAAAAUGUAAUCUUUACGAAGACCAAUGUAUUGCACAUGUCUAUCGUUAGUUCGACAGCGAGCUAACAAGCUCUAGUGUCCGUAAAAAUGUUGUUCGAUAAUUGCCGCCUUUUCCUUUUCUAGCAUGUUCUCCGUCAAGUCUCCGUCUCCGUCUUGCAGCAAGUGUGAUCGCUUGGCCUCGCCCUCGACAGACUGCAGUGAGUGACGUGUCACCUAAGCAGCCAUCAGUCCCCGCAGGUUUCGACCGUGUGGUCUCGACAGACCGCGUGACUCACGUGUUCUUCUGCUCCGUGUGGAAGCAGCCCUCUUGUGUGGCCUCGACAACAGACUGCAUGCAGGCUCUUGCUCUGCUCUUCAGCUGAAGAUGAUUGUCAAAGUGCAAUACCGAAACCAAAAGAAGUACACCGUGUGUGUGUGUGUGUGUGUGUGUGUGGUGUGUGGUGUGUGUGUGUGGUGUGUGGUGUGUGUUUGUGUG